rnacentral:tRNA from 1 species
GUGAGCGUGCCGGAGUGGUUAUCGGGUAUGACUAGAAAUCAUAUGGGCUCUGCUUGCGCAGGUUCGAAUCCUGCCGCUCACG